rnacentral:rRNA from 1 species
UACGUAGGGGGCGAGCGUUGUCCGGAAUUAUUGGGCGUAAAGAGCUCGUAGGCGGCUUGGCAAGUCGGAUGUGAAAACUCCAGGCUCAACCUGGAGCCGCCAUUCGAUACUGCUAUAGCUAGAGUCCGGUAGGGGAGUGUGGAACUCCCGGUGUAGCGGUGAAAUGCGCAGAUAUCAGGAGGAACACCGGUGGCGAAGGCGGGUCUCUGGGCCGAUACUGACGCUGAGGAGCGAAAGCGUGGGGAGCGAACAGG